UGCACAUAUAUGAAGAACCCGAGCAUUAAAAUAAUGUGAAGACACUAAAAUAAAAUUAAUGUUGAGUAAUGGGGCUCUUUUAUGCAGAUAUAGGCUUCAGCAGCCUUUGGAAACCUCUGGAGCUCUCCAAAUUAGUGAACAUGGAAGGGCAAAAUUGAUGGCAAGAAGAUGCAUAUGAAAGAAAUUAUCAACCAGCGAAAGAAUAUUUGACAUGCCCAAAAGCCUGGAAUUAUAUUUAAAGACUGACCAUAUAUUAUUUUCCAUAUUCCCUGAAAGUCACUAGCUCAUCCAAGUACAACACAGAAGCAGCAGUCAGCCCUGGUAAAAUCUGGGAAGAAGCCUGGAAC